UGUGUCAGUGAACAAAAAAAGACAAUGCAGCAGCCUUUUCUACCUGUCGUUUCCUGAAAGUCGAAUCCAUCCUUGUGGACAAACCAAACAGGUAACAUCAGGUUGAUUAAAUGGCGUCGAUGGAGGCUGACGUUCAGGGGAAAGAUGCAGGCCGCUCAGACUCGGAUCUUUGCUUCAGCAAGAAAAACUGUGUGCGUCUGUGCGUGGCCACAGUCGGCCUUUUUACAUUUAUUGGACUCUGUCUAACUUACCUGCCCGAUGAACACAAGCCAAUUCCGUUGUUUCGUGCCCCUAAACGAGCAGUGACGCUUUUAAUAUGGGCGAAUCCUUUCGGAACCCGUGAUAUUCCGAACUGUUCAGCGCUGUAUAAGAUCGAUGGGUGCCGGAUCACCGAUGACAGGAGCGAGUACGCGCGAGCUGAUGCUGUGGUUUUUCACCACCGGGAGAUUGGCGCCGGCAGCGUCCAACUGCCAUCGGAACCACGGCCGAGUGCGCAAAAGUGGAUCUGGAUGAACUAUGAGUCGCCCUCGCACUCACCCAGACUAGGCAGCUUUGAGGGGGUUUUUAACCUCACGAUGAGCUACCGGAAGGAUUCAAGCAUUUUCAUCCCUUACGGCAGCGUCGUCCCCGUCGGGCGCGAGGUAACAGGUGUGGCGCAGCCGCUCAGCACUCCGUCGGACUCAGAACUCUCCAGGCCCCACUUCGUGGCCUGGGUCGUCAGCAACUGGUCGCAGAACCAGGCACGAGUGAUCCUGUACAACAAGCUGCGCCAGUACAUCGACGUGGACGUGUUCGGGCACGGACAUCGCCCGUUACCUCCGGAGAGCGGCAACAACGUGGUGCAGCUGGUCCGACAGUACCUUUUCUACCUGGCCAUGGAGAACUCGCAGCACACGGAUUACAUGACGGAGAAGUUGUGGAACUCGAUAGAGGCCGGUGCCGUCCCGGUGGUCCUGGGUCCGUCCAGGAAGAACUAUGAGCGCUUUCUGCCCCCCGAAGCUUUUAUCCACGUAGAUGACUUCCCCACGGUGGAAGAACUGGCUCGGUACCUGCAGACGCUGAGGGUCAAUCCGGGUCGGCUGAAGAAGCACCUGGACUGGAGAAAGGGCUACAGCAUGCACCAAAUCGUAUUCUGGAGAGAGCAGUACUGCACAGCCUGUAAGGCGGUGAGGAGCAGCUUGGAUGUUUCUACCUCCGAUGAGGCUGUAGAGAAGGUUUCCUGAGAUCAAGGCAUCAGCAGCUAGAACCCUUGUCUCUUGGACUGCAACUGCUGAGGUUGGAUGAGCAGAGUCAUUCAGAAGAGCAUUAGAAUCUAUCUGACAAGUCAGUUCGAUAGAUGCAGAAGAGUGGUGGUGAAUCUCAUGAUAGCCACAAUCAUGUCCAUGACAGCAGACAACUCAGGAUCAGUGCGGGUCUCUUUCUUGACUUGAGACGCAGACACAAGCACUACUGACACUUCCCUGAAGUAGAAGAUAUACACUACAUUGGACCGCUCCUCCUCUGAGGAAUCACCAUUUUAAACACUAACAAACAGCAGCAAACAGCCAUCCUGAUUGGACUGAAUGGGUGUGACUGAAAACGCAGUUCUAAAAGCUGCCAUCACCAAAGACUCGUCCCUUGUUCUCUUCACUCCCUAUGUCCUCUCCACUCCACUCCCUCGACGGUCACUUGUUCUCCUCUCUCCAUCACCUUCGUCCACGUGGAGCGUCCCCUCUGCCCCCGGCACACCUCAGAGCCUCCACCGCAGCCAGCAGCCACCCGGCAAGAAACCGCCAGCUUAAUCGUCUCACCCGCUGCCGACUCAGCUGAUCACGACACGAUCACCGCGACGCACGGACCGGACCGCAACAGCGCAAGCACGCACGCAACGCCGGAUCUUCUCACCAGAACUGAACAGCAAAUCACAUGUCUGCAUGCUUCCCCUGGGAUGUUGCUGGUAACCUUGAUAACAACGAAUCGUGUUAAGUGAUGACCCAUGAAGAGGACAAAGAGCAAAGUCUGAAACAACAACAAUUCAUAAUUAAAAGGGGGUGUAAAAGAAGAGUAAGACGAGGAGCAGGAGGAGGAGGAGGAGGAGCUGUCUAGGUUGUGAAGUAAUGGUAUGUGAUACGUAAUGAAUGGUGACACUGAAAUGAAGCCAUUUGUUGUGGCGACUUUAAUCUCACACCUAUUAUCAGAAUCAUAGUCCUGCUGAAUACAUUUGUUUUACAAAGGACGCGUUAAAAAAAGACAACAUGUCAAACAUUUUUAAGUGGCAGGCCUGUGUCAGGAGAUGAUGAUGAUGACGGCAGCAUGGGUAGGGUAGCUUUGUUAACGUUGGUAGAAAGCCAGGUCAGCCCUGGGUGGUCUCUAUGUCAAGCCAAUUAGCUAUCAGAGCUACAGAUAUUUUUAGUAUAUGGUAUUUAGUAUAUUUCAGUUUUUCUUGAUUGCUUUGAAUCGUUUUAAGAAACUAUUAUCCACUCCACCUUCAUCAUCACUAUUCUAGCAGAACCCACAUUUUGCAAAUGUGUAAACCCGUUCUCAUUGGAUUGACACGUUUUCCACCGUUUUGCAGAAGAUCUCAGAUUCAGUCUAAACUCCAUUGUUUUAGCUUUGAUGACUAAACAGAAAGCAUUUAUCCCUAACUAUUAGAAACCAGCAAGACUGGUAUGAGCUCAAUGAAGUGUCUGUUUGACACUCCUUUACACAGAUCUUCAGUUGGCAUCAGUCUGCAGGUAAAAUGGUGCCAGGUCUGUGUUGCUUUCCGUAGCUUGCUUUCUGCAAAGACUCAGUAUCAGCAGUGGCUGUGUCUAAUAGUUUUGACUGUAUGUUGGUUCACAUGUAUUUUCUAAUGUAAUUAGAAAUAUUUAUAGCUUUUUAUAGCUAUUUCAGAUUUCAGCCAAUGUUUGGUAAAAAAUAUAAACUGCAUCAAAGCAUUUCUUCAUCUGGAUCCAAUUCUUUUUUAUUAAGACACAUUUGACUGAGACAACAGACUACAAUGACAAUCAUAUGAUACAAUGGUUCACAGAGUUUAUUGUUUUGUAUUUUGUACUCCAUUAUGUAAUGUAAUGUAAUAAAGUGCUCAUUUACUUGAUAACA